GAUGAACGCUGGCGGUGUGCCUAAUACAUGCAAGUCGAGCGAACAGACGAGGAGCUUUCUCCUCUGACGUUAGCGGCGGACGGGUGAGUAACACGUGGAUAACCUACCUAUAAGACUGGGAUAACUUCGGGAAACCGGAGCUAAUACCGGAUAACAUGUUGAACCGCAUGGUUCAACAGUGAAAGACGGUCUUGCUGUCACUUAUAGAUGGAUCCGCGUCGCAUUAGCUAGUUGGUAAGGUAACGGCUUACCAAGGCAACGAUGCGUAGCCGACCUGAGAGGAUGAUCGGCCACACUGGAACUGAGACACGGUCCAGACUCCUACGGGAGGCAGCAGUAGGGAAUCUUCCGCAAUGGGCGAAAGCCUGACGGAGCAACGCCGCGUGAGUGAAGAAGGUCUUCGGAUCGUAAAACUCUGUUAUUAGGGAAGAACAAAUGUGUAAGUAACUAUGCACGUCUUGACGGUACCUAAUCAGAAAGCCACGGCUAACUACGUG
rnacentral:rRNA from 1 species